CUCUGGGUCAUGAAUUUUGAAAUCAGCACUGAAGAGAUCUUCCACUGUUAUCUUCUUCUUCUGAGACAAGCUGUUAUCUUCAACUGGUGUCAGAAGUAUAACAGAGGUGACAAUCAGGGAGCAGAUAACGAGAAUAACAAGUAAGGCAAUUGCAAUUCCUUUCCAGUUUCUUUGUGGAGGAUUACUCCCCACCAGCUCCAUCAUGUUCCCCUGCAUUUUAGCGGUUUGAAACAUCGCCUUUUCCUUCAUUUUCGCUGUGUGU
rnacentral:lncRNA from 1 species